CCUUACUUCCUGCAGUCUUGGACUUUGCUAUUCUGCUGCUUUGCAGUGUUUUCCAUUGUGUUCCAGCUGGGAAUGUGUCAAAUAAAAUGUGAGGAUAAGAUGUAGAUGACACUGCUGUGCAUUUAUUUUAAACUGCUUAAAACUGCUCAACUCAGUUAUAGUUAAUCACACAAUCCCUGGAUGGCUGUGGGGGACCUCCGGAUGACAUCUAGUUUAAAAUCUCUGCUCAAGCAGGCCCAUCUGGACUCAUACCCAUGGGCUACAGCUCCGGUCCAGGGUCUGUUCCUGUGAAAGUCUCUCCAUGGGCUGUGGUCUCCUUCAGGCUACAUCCACCUGCUGCACUAUGGGCUCCACCACAGACUGCAUGUGGAGAUCUGCUCUGCAUGGUGCCCCAUAGGCUGCAGGAGGAAUUCUACUCUGUGCCUGCAGCAACUCCUGCCAUCCUUCUGGCCUGACCAUGGUGUCUGGGUUGCUGUUUGUCUCCACAGUUUCUCAUUCGUCUAUCCCAGCUGCUUUUGUACAGAAGUUAUUGUGGAGUUUUUUUUUAGUUGUUUAUCUCCUUUCACAGAGGCACAACUGGCAUUGUUCAUUGGCUCAGCUUUGGCCAGGGGUAGGUCCUUUUUGGAACCAGCUGGAAAGGAAUUUCUGAUAUGUGGCAGCUUCUGGGCUCUGCUAAUAGAAGCUAAGCCUGCAACUCUCAUACUAUCAAAAUAAUGCUAUUUAAACUCAGAACAUCUGAUUAAUCUGCCACUUCCUCCAGUUUUGUGUCAUCUGCAGACUUAAUGGGAGUAUGUUCAAUUCCAUUGUCCAGAUUAUUCAUGAAGGUGUUAAACAG